rnacentral:misc_RNA from 1 species
GAACGCACAUUGCGCCCCUUGGUAUUCCAUGGGGCAUGCCUGUUCGAGCGUCAUUUGUACCUUCAAGCCUUGCUUGGUGUUGGGUGUUUGUCUCGCCUCUGCGUGUAGACUCGCCUCAAAACAAUUGGCAGCCGGCGUAUUGAUUUCGGAGCGCAGUACAUCUCGCGCUUUGCACUCAGAACGACGACGUCCAAAAGUACAUUUUUACACUCUUGACCUCGGAUCAGGUAGGGAUACCCGCUGAACUUAAG